rnacentral:misc_RNA from 1 species
CAGAGAUCAUGCCCUUCGGGGUAGACCUCCCACCCUGUGUUAUUUACUCUUGUUGCUUUGGCAGGCCGCCUUCGGGCUCCCGGCUUCGGCUGGGGCGCGCCUGCCAGAGGACCCCAACUCUGAAUCAUAAACGUGUCGUCUGAGUACUAUAUAAUAAGUUA